CGCGGGCAUCAGUAGUUGUGAUGUGUGGGCUCAGCUGCUCUGUGGCACGUGGGAUCCCCCGGACCAGGGAUCGAACCGGCGUCCCCCUCACCAGCAAGUGGAUUCCCAGCCACUGCCACCAGGGAAGUCCCCAGACGGUAAGUUCAUGAAGCAGGGAGCCAUUUCUGUGCUGGUCAUUGUCAUUGGCUUCCCCAGAAUCAGACUUUGGCUGACAGGAAGUUAUGUGAAGGUUUACUGAAGCGUGAUCUAGGGAGCACCAGGUGGUUAAGAGAACCGGAUUGGUCUGGGAGAGAAUUAAGUGUUGUACAUCAACUAUACGUCAACUAAAAAAGAGAGAGAGAAGAAUCUGGAAAAUACAAUCUAUGAGACCUUGCUCCACAUUGCUUGUCGUGAUGCUUGAGGCUAAAGAAGAUGGCUUCUGCUUUAAUACGUUGAGGCCUAGAGGAACGUAAAAUGGACUCAGAUUCCCGGUGGUCUUCACUAGACAGCAAAGCAUGCUUGG